UACGUAGGGGGCGAGCGUUGUCCGGAUUUAUUGGGCGUAAAGAGCGUGUAGGCGGCCAGAUAGGUCCGUUGUGAAAACUGGAGGCUUAACCUCCAGCUGUCGAUGGAAACCAUCUGGCUAGAGUCCGGAAGAGGAGAGUGGAAUUCCUGGUGUAGCGGUGAAAUGCGCAGAUAUCAGGAAGAACACCCGUGGCGAAGGCGGCUCUCUGGGACGGUACUGACGCUGAGACGCGAAAGCGUGGGGAGCAAACAGG
rnacentral:rRNA from 1 species